CUGCGGCAGCGACGCUGAUGCGUUGUUGGGUAGGGGAGCGUUCUGUAAGCCUGCGAAGGUGGCCUGUGAGGGUUGCUGGAGGUAUCAGAAGUGCGAAUGCUGACAUAAGUAACGAUAAAGCGGGUGAAAAGCCCGCUCGCCGGAAGACCAAGGGUUCCUGUCCAACGUUAAUCGGGGCAGGGUGAGUCGACCCCUAAGGCGAGGCCGAAAGGCGUAGUCGAUGGGAAACGGGUUAAUAUUCCCGUACUUGGUGUUACUGCGAAGGGGGGACGGAGAAGGCUAUGUUGGCCGGGCGACGGUUGUCCCGGUUUAAGCGUGUAGGUGUGUGUUCCAGGUAAAUCCGGUUCACUUUAACACUGAGGCGUGAUGACGAGGCACUACGGUGCUGAAGCAACAAAUGCCCUGCUUCCAGGAAAAGCCUCUAAGCAUCAGGUAACAUCAAAUCGUACCCCAAACCGACACAGGUGGUCAGGUAGAGAAUACCAAGGCGCUUGAGAGAACUCGGGUGAAGGAACUAGGCAAAAUGGUGCCGUAACUUCGGGAGAAGGCACGCUGACACGUAGGUGAAGUGAUUUACUCAUGGAGCUGAAGUCAGUCGAAGAUACCAGCUGGCUGCAACUGUUUAUUAAAAACACAGCACUGUGCAAACACGAAAGUGGACGUAUACGGUGUGACGCCUGCCCGGUGCCGGAAGGUUAAUUGAUGGGGUCAGCGCAAGCGAAGCUCCUGAUCGAAGCCCCGGUAAACGGCGGCCGUAACUAUAACGGUCCUAAGGUAGCGAAAUUCCUUGUCGGGUAAGUUCCGACCUGCACGAAUGGCGUAAUGAUGGCCAGGCUGUCUCCACCCGAGACUCAGUGAAAUUGAACUCGCUGUGAAGAUGCAGUGUACCCGCGGCAAGACGGAAAGACCCCGUGAACCUUUACUAUAGCUUGACACUGAACAUUGAGCCUUGAUGUGUAGGAUAGGUGGGAGGCUUUGAAGUGUGGACGCCAGUCUGCAUGGAGCCGACCUUGAAAUACCACCCUUUAAUGUUUGAUGUUCUAACGUGGACCCGUGAUCCGGGUUGCGGACAGUGUCUGGUGGGUAGUUUGACUGGGGCGGUCUCCUCCUAAAGAGUAACGGAGGAGCACGAAGGUUGGCUAAUCCUGGUCGGACAUCAGGAGGUUAGUGCAAUGGCAUAAGCCAGCUUGACUGCGAGCGUGACGGCGCGAGCAGGUGCGAAAGCAGGUCAUAGUGAUCCGGUGGUUCUGAAUGGAAGGGCCAUCGCUCAACGGAUAAAAGGUACUCCGGGGAUAACAGGCUGAUACCGCCCAAGAGUUCAUAUCGACGGCGGUGUUUGGCACCUCGAUGUCGGCUCAUCACAUCCUGGGGCUGAAGUAGGUCCCAAGGGUAUGGCUGUUCGCCAUUUAAAGUGGUACGCGAGCUGGGUUUAGAACGUCGUGAGACAGUUCGGUCCCUAUCUGCCGUGGGCGCUGGAGAACUGAGGGGGGCUGCUCCUAGUACGAGAGGACCGGAGUGGACGCAUCACUGGUGUUCGGGUUGUCAUGCCAAUGGCACUGCCCGGUAGCUAAAUGCGGAAGAGAUAAGUGCUGAAAGCAUCUAAGCACGAAACUUGCCCCGA
rnacentral:rRNA from 1 species